GACGAACGCUGGCGGCGUGCUUAACACAUGCAAGUCGAACGGAAAGGCCCUGCUUUUGUGGGGUGCUCGAGUGGCGAACGGGUGAGUAACACGUGAGUAACCUGCCCUUGACUUUGGGAUAACUUCAGGAAACUGGGGCUAAUACCGGAUAGGAGCUCCUGCUGCAUGGUGGGGGUUGGAAAGUUUCGGCGGUUGGGGAUGGACUCGCGGCUUAUCAGCCUGUUGGUGGGGUAGUGGCUUACCAAGGCUUUGACGGGUAGCCGGCCUGAGCGGGUGCCCGGCCCCAUUGGGACUGAGAUGCGGCCCAGGCUCCUCCGGGAGGCUGCGGUGGAGCAUAUUGCACCAUCGGCGGAAGCCUGAUGCAGCACCGCCGCGUGCGGGAUGACGGCCUUCGGGUUGUACACCGCUUUCGCCUGCGACGAAGCGUGAGUGACGGUCAUGGGUAAAGAAGCACCGGCUCUCUACG
rnacentral:rRNA from 1 species